UUGCUUAAGAUGCCGUUUUUU
ensembl:piRNA 21ur-6988 ncRNA